GACGAACGCUGGCGGCGUGCUUAACACAUGCAAGUCGAACGGUGAAGCUCCAGCUUGCUGGAGUGGAUCAGUGGCGAACGGGUGAGUAACACGUGAGCAACCUGCCCCUGACUCUGGAAUAAGCGCUGGAAACGGCGUCUAAUACUGGAUACGAGAAGGGUCCGCAUGGGCACUUUCUGGAAAGUUUUUCGGUUGGGGACGGGCUCGCGGCCUAUCAGCUUGUUGGUGAGGUAAUGGCUCACCAAGGCGACGACGGGUAGCCGGCCUGAGAGGGCGACCGGCCACACUGGGACUGAGACACGGCCCAGACUCCUACGGGAGGCAGCAGUGGGGAAUAUUGCACAAUGGGCGAAAGCCUGAUGCAGCGACGCCGCGUGAGGGAUGACGGCCUUCGGGUUGUAAACCUCUUUCAGCAGGGAAGAAGCGAAAGUGACGGUACCUGCAGAAGAAGCACCGGCUAACUACGUG
rnacentral:rRNA from 1 species